UACGUAGGGUGCGAGCGUUAAUCGGAAUUACUGGGCGUAAAGCGUGCGCAGGCGGAUAUACAAGUUAGAUGUGAAAGCCCUGGGCUCAACCUAGGAAUAGCAUUUAAGACUGUAUGUCUAGAGUUUGUCAGAGGGUGGUAGAAUUCCAAGUGUAGCAGUGAAAUGCGUAGAGAUUUGGAGGAAUACCUGUGGCGAAGGCGGCCACCUGGGAUAGAACUGACGCUCAUGCACGAAAGCGUGGGGAGCAAACAGGAUUAGAUACCCUGGUAGUCCACGCCCUAAACGAUGUCUACUUGCUGUUGGUGGGGAACCAUUAGUAGCGAAGCUAACGCGAGAAGUAGACCGCCUGGGGAGUACGGUCGCAAGAUUA
rnacentral:rRNA from 1 species